UGCCUAGAACAUAGAAUUAAUGCAUCGGUUCCCAUUAUAAAUUCGUAGUUAAGCGCGCUUAGGAUAGAGUAGUACUGGGAUGGGUGACCACCUAGGAAGUCCUAGUAUUUUACAUGC
rnacentral:rRNA from 1 species